UACAGAGGUCCCAAGCGUUGUUCGGAUUCACUGGGCGUAAAGGGUGCGUAGGCGGUUUGAUAAGUCUGAUGUGAAAUCCCGCAGCUUAACUGCGGAACUGCAUUGGAAACUGUUUGACUAGAGGAAUGGAGGGGAGACUGGAAUACUUGGUGUAGCAGUGAAAUGCGUAGAUAUCAAGUGGAACGCCAGUGGCGAAGGCGAGUCUCUGGACAUUUCCUGACGCUGAGGCACGAAAGCCAGGGGAGCAAACGGG
rnacentral:rRNA from 1 species